UAGGGAAUCUUCCACAAUGGACGCAAGUCUGAUGGAGCAACGCCGCGUGAGUGAAGAAGGCUUUCGGGUCGUAAAACUCUGUUAUUGAAGAAGAACGUGUGUGACAGUAACUGGUCAUGCAGUGACGGUAUUCAAUCAGAAAGUCACGGCUAACUACGUGCCAGCAGCCGCGGUAAUACGUAGGUGGCAAGCGUUGUCCGGAUUUAUUGGGCGUAAAGCGAGUGCAGGCGGUCUUUUAAGUCUGAUGUGAAAGCCUUCGGCUUAACCGAAGAAGGGGCAUCGGA
rnacentral:rRNA from 1 species